GUGACGCCCCCGGGCAUCGGGGACGAAACAAAAGUUCCUCAAAUCCCCCUAAAAUUUUUUAAAUGCCCCCAAAAUUUCUGCUUUUUGCAUCAAGGACAAAGCCCCUCCUCACAACCCAGCGCUGUCCCCUCUCUUGGGGGUCUCUGUCCUCUCUCUGUCCCUUCCCAGGGGUCUCUGUUCCCUUUUGGGGGGGGUCUCUGUCCCCUCUCUUGGGGGUCUUUGUCUCCUUUUGGGGUCUCUCUCCCCUCUCGGGGGUCUCUGUCCUCUUUUUGGGGAGGGGUCUCUGUUCCCUCUCUUGCUCUCUGUCCCGUUUUUGUCCCCUCUCCCGGGGGUCUCUGUCCCCUUUGGGGGUCUCUGUCCUCUCUCUGUCCCUUUUAAGGUCUCUGUCCCUUUUUGGGGAGGGGUCUCUGUGUCCCCUUUUAGGGUCUCUGUUCCCUCCCUCUCUUGCUCUCUGUCCCCUGUUUUUGUCCCCCCUCUCGGGGGUCUCUGUCCCUUUUUGAGGGGGGUUUCUGUGUCCCCUUUUGGGGUCUCUGUCCCUUUUCGGGGGUCUCUGUCCCCUUUUGGGGGGGGGGGGUUCUGUUCCCUCUCUUGCUCUGUCCCGUUUUUGUCCCCCCUCUCGGGGUCUCUGUCCUCUUUUUGGGGAGGGGGUCUCUGUCCCCUCUCCCGAGGGGUCUCUGUCCCUGUUUGGGGAGGGGUCUCUGUUCCCCCUCUUGCUCUCUGUCCCCCGUUUUUGUCCCCUCUCAGGGAUCUCUGUCCCCUCUUGGGGAGGGGUCUCUGUCCCCUCUCUCGGGGGUCUCUGUGUCCUCUUGGGGGUCUCUGUCCUCUGUCCCUUUUAAGGUCUCUGUCCCUUUUUGGGGAGGGGUCUCUGUGUCCUCUUUUGGGGUCUCUGUCCCCUUUUGGGGGGGGUCUCUGUCCCCUCUCUUGGUUUCUGUCCCCUCUCCCGGGGGUCUCUGUCCCCUUUUGGGGAGGGGUCUCUGUGUCCCCUUUUGGGGGGGAGUCCCUGUCCCUUUUUGGGGAGGGGUCUCUGUCCCCUCUCUUGCUCUCUGUCCCCUGUUUUUGUUCCCUCUCUCGGGGGUCUCUGUCCCCUUUUUGGGGAGGGGUCUCUGUGUCCCCUUUUGGGGUCUCUGUCCCCUCUGGGGGUGUCUCUGUGUCCCCCUUUGUCCCCAA
rnacentral:lncRNA from 1 species